GACGAACCGUGCAAACGUUAUUCGGAAUCACUGGGCAUAAAGGGCGCGUAGGCGGGCUGUCAAGUCUGGGGUGAAAUGCCGCGGCUCAACCGUGGAACUGCCUUAGAUACUGACGGCCUCGAGGGAGGUAGGGGCGUGCGGAACUGUAGGUGGAGCGGUGAAAUGCGUUGAUAUCUACAGGAACUCCGGUGGCGAAAGCGGCGCGCUGGACCUCUUCUGACGCUGAGGCGCGAAAGCUAGGGGAGCAAACGGG
rnacentral:rRNA from 1 species